UACGGAGGGUGCAAGCGUUAAUCGGAAUUACUGGGCGUAAAGCGUGCGCAGGCGGUUUUGUAAGUCUGUCGUGAAAGCCCCGGGCUCAACCUGGGAAUUGCGAUGGAGACUGCAAGGCUUGAAUCUGGCAGAGGGGGUAGAAUUCCACGUGUAGCAGUGAAAUGCGUAGAGAUGUGGAGGAACACCGAUGGCGAAGGCAGCCCCUGGGUCAAGAUUGACGCUCAUGCACGAAAGCGUGGGGAGCAAACAGG
rnacentral:rRNA from 1 species